GUCAGUGUCUCCCACAUGACCUGGUCUCCUCAUUGGCCUGACUCCAAGCUAGAAUCAGAGUCGGACCAAGCCUUGGGGAGGAGGCAGGCAGCCUGGUUCAGCCUCACCGACAUGCCUGUGCGUUAUGGCUGCAGCAAAUGUGCGGAACGUGAAAAGAACCUAGAAGAGAAUUCUACUAGAAACGGCACUGUGAAGUCCAUCUACAGGGGACAGAGACGGCAGGAAGGAGGUGACGCAGAACCGAACGUAGGGGACAAGUAGCAAUUUGAGGACAAGAUGCUCAUGGAUGGGGGCCCAGCACAAGAGGUGAGCGCCACCUGGUGGACGAACCCGGAGGUCCUCCUGGUACCCAACCUGCCCCCCUUCCCAGCCCCCACCUGCCAAACUCAUCAACUGAGGCUAAUGCGGCGGAUGGAGCGUACACUUGACAACAUUCUUUCACGUUUUUCAAAAGAAGGGUAAUUUAAAAUCUAAUAAUGAAUUUUCCCUGGGGAUCCCCCAGGUGCUGUCUGCCUUCUUGUUCUCCAGGGAGGUUACACAGGAGCCAUCCCCUCACCCUAUUCCUUGUUCCUUCGCUCAGACAUAGCCUCCCCGACGUCCAUCUCACACCUUUCUGCUUCACGCAAGAAACCCUGAUUUUGUGUAAAUGCCAUGUAGGGCCCAGAGAUGCCACAUGAGCAAGGCCGGCCUCUGGCUCUGAGUCAGGAGAACAGACGUACAAGUGAUGAGUGUUGGGAUUUGCCGACAAAUAGCAGCAAUUCAUCCAAGGCAGGGAUGGAAUUUUCCAGCAGAGUUGUUUACUAGGCAACUUAAGGGAAAAACAAAGCAACAACACGAAGUGCUAGCUUGCUGAGGCAAGCUACUCCGUCCCGGGGGCCCAGGCAGACACCCGCACACCGGCGAAGACGGCUCGGCGAGAGCAGCUCGUCCGCAUGCGGCCCCUCGGCCCCCUUCACCCCUCGUGGGUCUCCAGGCGGCCAGGCCGGCGGAGGCAGAAGGCAGCUUACGAGUCUCCCGGGCUGGCUGAGAUCGCAGGACCUUCCGGAAGCAGCUUCUGGAGCCUGGCUCUGGGACGGGUUGGUGAUGCGCCUCCCGGCCCCACUGAAGCCCUCCGCCCUCGCCCUUACCCUCCUCCUCUUCCUUCUUCAGGACUAAUGAACAUUUACGUAAAGUAAAAACACGAACCAUAAGCGUUGCUUGUGGUAUAUGGGGGCCUUCCCUGGUGGCUCAGAUGGUAAAGAAUCCGCCUGCAAUGCAGGAGACCCGGACUUGACCCUGGGUCAGGCAAAUCCCCUGGAGGAGGGCAUGUCUACCCACUCCAGUAUUCUUGCCUGGAGAAUCUCAUGGACAGAGGAACCUGGUGGGCUACAGUCCAUGGGGCCGCAAAGAGUUAGACACACUGAGCAACUAACACAUCCACCCAUCUCCACACACACACGGUAUAUGGAGUAUGCACAGACAGGUGUCCUUCCAUCAGCUCAGUCUCUCGGUCAUGACUGACUCUCUGUGACCCCAUGGACUGCAGCACACCAGGCUUCCCUGUCCGUCACCAACUUCCACAGCUUACUCAAACUCACAUCCAUCAAGUCGGUGAUGCCAUCCAACCAUCUCAUCCUCUGUGAUUUCAUAGU
ensembl:lncRNA